GAUGAACGCUGGCGGCGUGCCUAAUACAUGCAAGUCGAGCGAACGGACGAGAAGCUUGCUUUUCUGAUGUUAGCGGCGGACGGGUGAGUAACACGUGGAUAACCUACCUAUAAGACUGGGAUAACUUCGGGAAACCGGAGCUAAUACCGGAUAAUAUUUUGAACCGCAUGGUUCAAAAGUGAAAGACGGUCUUGCUGUCACUUAUAGAUGGAUCCGCGCUGCAUUAGCUAGUUGGUAAGGUAACGGCUUACCAAGGCAACGAUGCAUAGCCGACCUGAGAGGGUGAUCGGCCACACUGGAACUGAGACACGGUCCAGACUCCUACGGGAGGCAGCAGUAGGGAAUCUUCCGCAAUGGGCGAAAGCCUGCCGGAGCAACGCCGCGUGAGUGAUGAAGGUCUUCGGAUCGUAAAACUCUGUUAUUAGGGAAGAACAUAUGUGUAAGUAACUGUGCACAUCUUGACGGUACCUAAUCAGAAAGCCACGGCUAACUACGUG
rnacentral:rRNA from 1 species